GGCCCGUUCGUCUAGUGGUUAGGACUCCAGGUUUUCAUCCUGGCAACAGGGGUUCGAUUCCCCUACGGGCUG
rnacentral:tRNA from 1 species